GCAUAUCAAUAAGCGGAGGAAAAGAAACUAACAAGGAUUCCCCUAGUAACUGCGAGUGAAGAGGGAAAAGCUCAAAUUUAAAAUCUGGCAGCCUAAGUUUAACGGUUGUCCGAGUUGUAAUCUAGAGAAGUGCUUUCCGUGCUGGACCGUGUACAAGUCUCUUGGAAUAGAACAUCAUAGAGGGUGAGAAUCCCGUCUUUGACACGGACUACCAGUGCUUAUGUGAUGCGCUCUCAAAGAGUCGAGUUGUUUGGGAAUGCAGCUCAAAAUGGGUGGUAAAUUCCAUCUAAAGCUAAAUAUUGGCGAGAGACCGAUAGCGAACAAGUACCGUGAGGGAAAGAUGAAAAGGACUUUGGAAAGAGAGUUAAACAGUACGUGAAAUUGUUGAAAGGGAAACGCUUGAAGUCAGUCACGUUGAUCGGAAGUCAAACCCGUAACAGGGYGAAAUUUCAGGUUUUAACGGGUCAACAUCAAUUUUGAUUGUUGGAUAAAAGUUUUGGGUCACAUAUCUUUGGACGUGUAGCCUUUGAUUGCAUACAAUGAUUGGGAUUGAGGAACUCAGCACGCCGCAAGGCCGGGUCGUCAUUGACCACGUACGUGCUUAGGAUGUUGGCAUAAUGGCUUUAAUCGACCCGUCUUGAAACACGGACC
rnacentral:rRNA from 1 species